rnacentral:rRNA from 1 species
UACCGGCGCCUCAAGUGGUAGUCGCUUUUAUUGGGCCUAAAGCAUCCGUAGCCGGCUCUGUAAGUUUUCGGUUAAAUCUGUACGCUCAACGUACAGGCUGCCGGGAAUACUGCAGAGCUAGGGAGUGGGAGAGGUAGACGGUACUCGGUAGGAAGGGGUAAAAUCCUUUGAUCUAUUGAUGACCACCUGUGGCGAAGGCGGUCUACCAGAACACGUCCGACGGUGAGGGAUGAAAGCUGGGGGAGCAAACCGG